CGUAGGUGGCAAGCGUUGUCCGGAUUUACUGGGCGUAAAGCGUGCGCAGGCGGACUUUUAAGUAGGAAGUGAAAGGUUGGAGCUCAACUCCGACACUGCUUCCUAUACUGGGAGUCUUGAAUGCCGGAGAGGAAGAUGGAACGACACGUGUAGCGGUGAAAUGCGUUGAGAUGUGUCGGAACACCAAUGGCGAAAAGCAAUCUUCUGGACGGAUAUUGACGCUCAUGCACGAAAAGCUAAAGGUAGCAAAACAGGAUU
rnacentral:rRNA from 1 species